rnacentral:rRNA from 1 species
CUCAGAUUGAACGCUGGCGGCAGGCCUAACACAUGCAAGUCGAGCGGUAGCACAGAGAGCUUGCUCUCGGGUGACGAGCGGCGGACGGGUGAGUAAUGUCUGGGAAACUGCCUGAUGGAGGGGGAUAACUACUGGAAACGGUAGCUAAUACCGCAUAAUGUCGCAAGACCAAAGUGGGGGACCUUCGGGCCUCAUGCCAUCAGAUGUGCCCAGAUGGGAUUAGCUAGUAGGUGGGGUAACGGCUCACCUAGGCGACGAUCCCUAGCUGGUCUGAGAGGAUGACCAGCCACACUGGAACUGAGACACGGUCCAGACUCCUACGGGAGGCAGCAGUGGGGAAUAUUGCACAAUGGGCGCAAGCCUGAUGCAGCCAUGCCGCGUGUGUGAAGAAGGCCUUCGGGUUGUAAAGCACUUUCAGCGGGGAGGAAGGCGAUAAGGUUAAUAACCUUGUCGAUUGACGUUACCCGCAGAAGAAGCACCGGCUAACUCCGUGCCAGCAGCCGCGGUAAUACGGAGGGUGCAAGCGUUAAUCGGAAUUACUGGGCGUAAAGCGCACGCAGGCGGUCUGUCAAGUCGGAUGUGAAAUCCCCGGGCUCAACCUGGGAACUGCAUUCGAAACUGGCAGGCUAGAGUCUUGUAGAGGGGGGUAGAAUUCCAGGUGUAGCGGUGAAAUGCGUAGAGAUCUGGAGGAAUACCGGUGGCGAAGGCGGCCCCCUGGACAAAGACUGACGCUCAGGUGCGAAAGCGUGGGGAGCAAACAGGAUUAGAUACCCUGGUAGUCCACGCCGUAAACGAUGUCGAUUUGGAGGUUGUGCCCUUGAGGCGUGGCUUCCGGAGCUAACGCGUUAAAUCGACCGCCUGGGGAGUACGGCCGCAAGGUUAAAACUCAAAUGAAUUGACGGGGGCCCGCACAAGCGGUGGAGCAUGUGGUUUAAUUCGAUGCAACGCGAAGAACCUUACCUGGUCUUGACAUCCACAGAACUUAGCAGAGAUGCUUUGGUGCCUUCGGGAACUGUGAGACAGGUGCUGCAUGGCUGUCGUCAGCUCGUGUUGUGAAAUGUUGGGUUAAGUCCCGCAACGAGCGCAACCCUUAUCCUUUGUUGCCAGCGGUCCGGCCGGGAACUCAAAGGAGACUGCCAGUGAUAAACUGGAGGAAGGUGGGGAUGACGUCAAGUCAUCAUGGCCCUUACGACCAGGGCUACACACGUGCUACAAUGGCAUAUACAAAGAGAAGCGACCUCGCGAGAGCAAGCGGACCUCAUAAAGUAUGUCGUAGUCCGGAUUGGAGUCUGCAACUCGACUCCAUGAAGUCGGAAUCGCUAGUAAUCGUAGAUCAGAAUGCUACGGUGAAUACGUUCCCGGGCCUUGUACACACCGCCCGUCACACCAUGGGAGUGGGUUGCAAAAGAAGUAGGUAGCUUAACCUUCGGGAGGGCGCUUACCACUUUGUGAUUCAUGACUGGGG